rnacentral:rRNA from 1 species
UACGUAGGGUGCAAGCGUUGUCCGGAAUUAUUGGGCGUAAAGAGCUCGUAGGCGGUCUGUCGCGUCGGCUGUGAAAACUCGGGGCUCAACUCCGAGCUUGCAGUCGAUACGGGCAGGCUAGAGUUCGGCAGGGGAGACUGGAAUUCCUGGUGUAGCGGUGGAAUGCGCAGAUAUCAGGAGGAACACCGGUGGCGAAGGCGGGUCUCUGGGCCAUUACUGACGCUGAGGAGCGAAAGCGUGGGGAGCGAACAGG